UUCAAAUAUUAAAUAUAAACUCAAAAACUAUUUCUGUUUUUCAAUAAUUAAUCUUAAUAUCUUAUCCCAAUACACUAAACCUUUAACCUUCAAACCCUAUACUCAAACAUUUUUUUUGAACUCAUAACUUUAAAUCUAAAGUCUAAAUUAAAAAAAAAUCAAACUUAAAUCUAAUUCUUCAAAUAAAUUCAAAUUUACUUUUUUCAAACCCUAAACGCUUAACAUCUUUUCAAAACCUUUAACCCUUUAUCCUAUGUCCAAACCUAAUAACAUAAACACUACAGUUUACAUCAAAAUCUCAAAUCUAAUAUUUUCAAGUUUUAAUAAAAUAAAAUAAAAAACUAAAUGUGAACACUUAUAAAAAUCUAGCCCUUAAACUCUCAAAACACCAAACCCCUAAAUUGUUGGGGUCAAAAACGGUUAUCUCGAAAUCAACGGCUAAAAAUAUUUAUCGUGUGCGGACUUUCCAUAAAACAAGCGUCGAAAGCAAAACAAGUCGUACAGCUUAAAAAACCUAUGUUAAAGUCGAUCGUUCUUGUUUUACACGAUAAACUUUACGAGAAAACCAACUCAGAUUUAGUCGUAAACUUCGAUGAUACAAUCAAGAAGAACCGAGAGACAUUAGGUCCGUAGCUGAGAUGACACGACCAUACGAAAGUAUACGGAAGAAACGGGAAGUGAUCUAAGUUUGGAUAGGCCGAACGACAGGGAAUCCCCCUUAAAACUUCAAAGAGCCCGUUCUCCAAACCGUGAGGACUCAGAGAACGAUCAAGAUAUCAAAUCGAAGCCCUCGUCGAGACGCACGUGCUGGUCCUGGCCGACGGCGGCUAGCCCCCGUGCUGGUCCUGGCCGCCGGGCGGCUAAGCCCCCGUGCUGGUUCGGCCGCCGGGAAACUUCAAAGAACCCGUUCUCUCAAUCCGUGAGGACCCAGAGAACGAUCAAGAUAUCAAAUCGAAGCCCUCGUUGAGACGCACGUGCUGGUCCUGGCCGCCGGGGGCUAGCCCCCGUGCUGGUCCUGGCCGCCGGGCGGCUAAGCCCCCGUGCUGGUUCGGCCGCCGGGAAACUUCAAAGAACCCGUUCUCUCAAACCGUGAGGACCUAGAAAACGAUCAACAUAUCAAAUCGAAGCCCUCGUCGAGACGCACGUGCUGGUCCGUAGCCGCCGGGCGGCUAGCCCCCGUGCUGGCUGUGGCCGCCGGCGGCUAGCGCCCGUGCUGGCCGUGGCCGCCGGGCGGAUAGCCCCGUGCUUGCCGUGGCCACCGGCGGCUAGCGCCCGUGCUGGCCGUGGCCGCCGGGUGGCUAGCCCCGUGCUGGCCAUGGCCGCCGGCGGCUAGCUCCCGCGCUGGCCAUGGCCGCCGGGCGGCUAGCCCCGUGCUGGCCAUGGCCGCCGGCGGCUAGCGCCCGUGCUGGCCGUGGCCGCCGGGCGGCUAGCCCCGUGCUGGCCGUGGCCGCCGCCGGCUAGCGCCUGUGCUGGCCAUGGCCGCCGGGCGGCUAGCUCCGUGCUGGCUCGGGUCGUCGGAUGACAAGCUUCCGUGCAUAAGUUCUAGGCCCCGGCCGUCAGAAGUCUGUACUUUGCAUCUUUUCCAAGUUUUCGCGGAACGAAUCGUUGAGAUUCCGCAUACAAAACUCCCGCUCUUACUCCAAACUAAGAUCGUCGGAAACACUUCGGAAACUCGUAAGAUAUCAACGGGAAGGAAGAUCUUAAAAUCUUCGUGCGAAACAGUGAUGGUUAUCUUAAGACACCACUCAUCUCAACUCUACGAAGGAUUGAAGAUCUUCCGAAAAAUCGUAGAAAACAACGGAAGUCCUAGAAACGGCCCGAAAGAGACCAAACGCGAUCGGACAGUCCGCUUACGAUUGUCUGAGAUAGAUACGACGAUUUACGUUUAUCUUCACAUAACAAGAUAAAUGCUAAAUUUCCAGAGGGAUAAAUGUCAAGUUUCCCGAAGAUAAAUGUCAAGUUUCCCGAUAAACAUGAAGGCCAACGAAAAUGGAAAAAGCCCGCUUCGCGGCCCAAAAGGAGAAUAGACCGUCAUAAGAAGGAGUGUAUAAAGGAGCUUUGGGAGAGGAGGAAAGGCAGAGCGAAAAUCAUUGAGAGAGCAAAUCCGAAAAUUAGGGCAGAUCCGAGAUUUAGACUUAGAGAAUUCCUGCUAGCUUAGAGAACGUAGGACUUAGGUGGCCAGACUAACAAGGCAGGACCUAGAACGUCCGGCCGCCCCUGUCCUACUUCCGUCACGUUAGCAUAUCUCUACUCCUCUCGGAAAGACCCAACGAUUAAGCUUUAAUUAGAGUUCCGCACAUAGAAACCCUAGGCAUUAAUCUCGACAUGCUUGUUUCAAUGUCCAACGCUCAUACUAGACGAACUCGGCCGAGGCAGUUCGAUCUCUUGUUCAAAUCCUUCUAAUUGAACUACGUCCGACUUGAUCCUCGAAAGGGGUACGUAGGCAGCCUUUCUUAAGGUUCAGUCCCAAAUCUUAACGAUUCCACUAUUCACGAACACUAUUCCGAAUCACUAUUCCGGAUUUUACUGUUCGGAGUUCGGUCGCUAUGGCGACCCAGUUUUGUUCGUGUAAACGCUUCACUAUUCAUGUUUAAUCAUACUUACUAUUUCAUGUUUUCUGCCGUAUUAAUUCGCGUCGUGCGUGGCCCAGCAGAUAUCCGGGAUCUCUGGGAAAUUAAGGUUUUCCUAAUUUCCUAAAUUAUACGAUUUAUUGACAGUGCGAAUUUCGGUUCCCACAGUUUGGCGCUAGAAGGAGGGUGAUAACGGAUCAAUCUUACUCGCAACUACGCACGCUCAACCAACGCACGACGGAACACCCGUCGAUACCAACGUUGAGAAAACACCUACCUGGAAACACGUCCACGGUCACUGCCAAGGCAAACACCACGAUGUUAAACCAGAUGAAGGAAUUGUUCGCUUCGGCCCAGAAACGGUCCAAUGAACAUGAAAAGCUAAUAAGCUCACUCGCUAAACAGGUCGAAACCUUAACAGCGAAGAGCAAACUCCCGCGCGGAACCACUAAGGUUAGACGCGGUCGAAGACUCGGUUUCGGAAUUCCUAGGAAUCGAAACAACGAUGCCCCAAGGGAUCCAACAGAACAAAGUCCCAAUGAAACGGCUCCGGCAGGACGCUAGACGGUCAAGGAAAAACCUUCCACCCCUAUAGAGGGAAACGAAGGGGACAAUGACCAAUCCGAUCAUUCGGACGACGAUGCCGAUGUCCAUCCAAGGAGGACCUGAAGUCAGUCCGCUCGACAGACGGUAUCUUUGGAGAAACCCCUAAUUACUCGCAGAAGAGAAAUCGGAUAACCAAAAAAGGUUACCCGACGAGCACGUGAUUUCUCGCCGACAGGUGCGGCCUUGGGCGCUGGCGGUUGCGCCCACACCGUUGCUCCGGGAGCCGACGAUUGCCAUGUGCCGUGCUACAGGUCGUUCGGCGAGUGCGGCUGGUCUUUCGUGAACCAUCCCCACUUCCGUACUUCUUUCAAACGACUCUCGUUGAGAAUGCGGUCUAUCACGGUUCCGUCCCGACCAGCUCGCCAUAUACCGAGUUCGGUCCUUCUCUACAAGCUUCAAAAAAAAACAGAGUUGAUUUCUAUAAAAUCACUCGAAACCUAAAACGGUUAACGAAGACUAAACAAAAGACAAAACGAGGGAUCGUAUCCCUCACUGCUAAGACGUCUUCCGACACCUAAAAUAUUCGCUGGCUGCGAACUCUCGACAUUUUCCCACUAAGCUUACUUCGGAGAAACUACUCAAAACUCAUUCGGAUCAAUCCUACGGAAACGAGAAAUUUCUGAUGAAGUUUAGUCGCAAAAAAGCACAGCUCGCGGCAGCAAGAGUUUCCGAUAUUAAAAUUCGACAACGUUUUACGAAACACUUUUCGUAAAAUAAUACUCGACAAUAUUUCACGAGACAGUUUUUUGUACGAUUAAACUCGAUAACAUUUUUCGAAACAGCUUCCGUAAAAUUAACUCGACAACAGUUCGCAGAAUAACUCUCGUAAAAUAAAAUCUCGGCAACAUUUUACGAGUUCGUAAAAUCAAACAAGAUCAUAUGAAACAGUAAGGUCUGGGACAUGACCAGUUCGCUCAUAGCUUGACGAACUAAGAGUGACGUCUUGCACAUUGUGUCUAAAAACGUCCACCUUAGACCUCUUCAAGUAAUCACCUACUUCCCCUCUCUUUGUUUCAACGAUUCUGUCGGGCACAAUUUAACCAGCACAUCGAAGAAACGAGAACAGGAAUUUGAGCGUUGAUAUCUCUCUCUCGCUCCGAUAUUCUCGUCUGAAUUUCGUCGAAAAUCAAUUCUCGUUCAGUAUCAAACUCUUCGAAGACCUUCGACAGUAAAUCGAAAAUGGCCAUUCCCAAACGCCUAAUAAACUUUCGAUAAAUUACUAACUCAUACUCGCAAGAAUCCUUCGACUCGUUCUUGUAGAACUAACGCUGCGAAAGUUGAAACUCCGAUCAGAAGACGCGAAGCAAAGAGGAACGGACAAGAGGCGAUCUUGAAUAAUCGAGGAGACUAAGGAACUCCUCCUCUCUUCCCCUUUUCCCUGACAAAGCGACACCUCGGAGAUGGAGCAAUGAAACGAGACGAAUGAAGAAGCUGCAGAGGCAGAGGACCAGAUCUGACAGAGAGAAGGACGAUGGAGGACUUGGCUGACGGCGUGGCUGAAGCAUCGAGGAUGGGGGAGUUCGUGAAAGAGGCGGCUGUAGGAGUUGGCUAACAACAACGGAUUCGACACAAACAAGCUCUUCUUCUGAGAAAUCGAGUAGCUCAGUCCUAAUCUCAGCUAGGUUAGCUGAAUCAAUGGCAGAUUUUGUCGUUGAUGGAGGUGUUUGCCGGCGACGAAGUUAAGAAGUUUGAAGAUGCGUGUUUUGUUAUUAGGUUUAGUUAGCAAAUAGGUCUAGGUUUAACCUUGGUUUAGUUUUGGUUUGUUUGGUUUAUUUAUUUUUCAUGUAAACCAGUUGUAAUUUAGAACUCAAUCUAAUUUAUAAAUGAUAAUUUUGAUAUUU